UCAGGUGCGGGCGGAGCUGCGGCAGAAGGGGUGGCGCGACGGAGCAGGAGAAGAUGUUCAGGCGCGGCGCGGCGGGCGGAGCGGGAGAGGUUCAGGCGGAGCUGCGGCAAAAGGGGCGGUGCAACGGAGCAGGAGAAGAUGGCCGAGAAUAUGUUCAGGCACGGCGUGGCGGGCGGAGCAGCAGAGGUUCAGGCGCGGCGCCACGGGCAGAGCAAGAGAGGUUCAGGGGAGAUGCCAGCGUAGCAGGAGAGGUUCAUGGGCGGUGCCCUUGUCGUCGGACGGCCAUCCUUGCUGUGCUUGAUGGAGGAUAGAAGGGGGAACAUUUUCUGGUGGGUACGCCGGCCGCGGGCGCGCUUUGCUGUGACCUGUCCGCCGCCCCACCAAUCCUCUCCGGCCUCCUCCGUAUCCUUCUCAAUCUCGGACGAGCUAUUCCCGUGCCGUGAUUUGGAUGGACAAUAGGAGGUCGUGUCCUUCUCCAACACCAAGCAAUGGAGUGCCCGACCCGGAUUUGAGUUGUUUGCUAUAAGAAGGAGCGGUCCUCGGCCGAAAUCUCCAUCAGAUUGCGUCCUUGGACCAUAAGCUCCAUCAAAGCCCGUCCAAAUUGCUUUUUUUUUGACGCAACGUACAAUGUCGCCGUCGAGUUCGCCGGAGGAGGAAGUGCCGAGUUCGCCGGAGGAACAAGACCAUCUGUCCAACCGCCCAAUUUCGCCUGCCUCGGCUACACCAGAGGUGCCAAAGGCAUCCAAUCCAACUCAGGUGGAGGCCAAGGAGGUUCAACUCUCGGACAUUGCACCAAUAAUGCUGGAUGAUACCGACGUGAAGACUAAAAUAGAUGACAUCGCUGAAAUGGACAUUGUAGAGGAUUUUGAUAACCGGCCUUCCAAAAAGGCAAAAAUUUCUGAAUCACGUGUACUGGAACCAUCACCUAUGUCACCAACUAUGAAAACAUCUUCUCCAGGUUCAGAGUGUUUUGAAUCGUUUGUGCCGGAAUCAGAUAAUCAGAUGAAUCAUGAUACACUACCAUCACCUCCAUCCCCAUCUAGCUCGACAAUAUCUCCUGUUUUCCCAUUGCAUGAUAUUAAGGAACCAAAUUCACAUAAAGAGAUCCAAGUUGAUGAGACAUAUGAUUAUCUCCCACAAGACUAUACAUUGACCGACCAUGAUCUACGUGCUCAUAUAGCAAUAGAAUCAUCUUUGAGAAAACAAUUGCUGGUUCAGAUAGAUGGAAGUUCUGUCUUGCAACAUCAAUUGAUGUGCCUGCUAGAUGAGAAAGAGUGGGUAAAUGAUGAUGUGAUCAAUGCAUAUAUAUGUUGUAUAAAGGACCAAAUACAUCUCCAGAAUGAUAAUAAAGUAUAUUUUGAGAGUCCAUUUGUUACCUCACUAUUUAAACGAGAUGGCACCAUUGGAAUACAAGAAGGUAGUGCCUUCAUGACAGAGAUUGUCCUCGAAUAUAUGCAGCAUGACAUGAUUAAACUUCCAAUAAAUGCCAAUAACACACAUUGGUAUUUAGCUGUUGUGAAUACAAAAAAAUGUGAGGUUCAAGUUCUAGACUCAUUGUGCUGGAAUUCUGACAGAGAUGAUCUUGCUAAUACGCUACGAGGAAUGCAAUUUCAUUUGGACCUUCUUAAAAGUCAAAAGUUGGUAAGCGACGAUUGGAAAGACGUUGAUCUUACUGAAUGGAAGAUCACAGAACAAUUACAAAAGGCAAUUCAAAAAGACUAAAUUUAUGGAAUAUUUCACCGGAUGUGCACUAUCUUACCCAAUUACACAGGAAAUGAUUAUACUUCUUUUAGGUUUAAGUUAGCCAGCAUACUAUUAUGUUGGAAAACAAACACUGCAGCAAUGACUACAAUCGUUGAAGAAAGUGACGAUGACAGCAAGGGAGAUCCUGAUGAUGUUCAAAAAUAUUGGAAAGUUUAGAUGAUAUAAAAAAACAAAAACAAAAAUCCCAUUAUCUGUUGAAAAUAAAUACAGAUCACUAAUAUCAAUUCUUUCUAAUAUGACCUUACAUGAGUUAACAGCUGGACUCUGUAGCUUCAUUAAAUCAAUUAAUUACACCGAGAUUUUAGAGAAAGUAUGGAUCCGAAGUUCAAAACCAUAUCCAAUUAGCUUGUCUCUCAGAAAACUACAAGGAUUGCUAAAGGAUGAUUUAUCCAUGGACCGCGAUUGCUUUAAUUUGAUCAUACGGAAGAUUAUGUUGGAUGACAUCCAAACAUCACAAAAAACAAAGCAACUGAUAGCAAAGCAUUAUCUCGACAUGAAAUUUUGGAUGACUACUGAUUUUGGAAGGCACCCGGAUUUUCGUAAAAAGUUAGAUGUCGAGCAACUAGCAAAUUCUGUUCGUAGUUGGCCUGGUAUCAAAUAUAAUGUUUCAACAUGCAAAUCGAUCCAUAUUCCAGUACAAUGCAUUGAUGAAUUCAUUCUAUUCACAUUGGAUCAAGAUACCAGAGA